CAGAGCUAGACAGACAGACACACGGCCAGCCUGGCUACUGAGGAAGGCGUUUCCAUGGUAACGAGCAGCACAUCCGAAAGCUCUCAGAGCUUCCUCUCCUCCACUCGUGACUGGCCAGCUUGAAUGGCAGAAUUCUGUUGAUACAGCAACGGUUUUUGUCACCAAACUGUCAAAGGAAGAAGCUAAACAUCUCUAGGCCUAUUUAGGUAGAACAGUAAAUCUGCAUAUGUUUGAAGAGAUUUUGCUGCAGUGGGAGAAAAUGGAAAUAAAUGUUUAGGGCCUAACGGAACAGGUCCAUUGAUCCCAACCAGA